AUAUUAUAUAUCAAACCCUCUUUUUGAUGGAGUGGUUUGGAAUGUGGAGGGAAUGUGUUUGCUGGCCUCUUGAAGGGGGGUCAGCUCCUCUGAAAUGCAUUAGUGGGACAGCUUGUUUGUUCAUUGGUGUGAUAAACUAUCUACGUCAUUGAGCUAAAGCUUUCCUUGCCCUCUUUUUUGGGGCAGUUUAUUGUCAUUC
rnacentral:misc_RNA from 1 species